rnacentral:rRNA from 1 species
GAUGAACGCUGGCGGCGUGCCUAAUACAUGCAAGUCGAGCGAACGGACGAGAAGCUUGCUUCUCUGAUGUUAGCGGCGGACGGGUGAGUAACACGUGGAUAACCUACCUAUAAGACUGGGAUAACUUCGGGAAACCGGAACUAAUACCGGAUGAUAUUUUGAACCGCAUGGUUCAAAAGUGAAAGACGGUCUUGCUGUCACUUAUAGAUGGAUCCGCGCUGCAUUAGCUAGUUGGUAAGGUAACGGCUUACCAAGGCAACGAUGCAUAGCCGACCUGAGAGGAUGAUCGGCCACACUGGAACUGAGACACGGUCCAGACUCCUACGGGAGGCAGCAGUAGGGAAUCUUCCGCAAUGGGCGAAAGCCUGACGGAGCAACGCCGCGUGAGUGAUGAAGGUCUUCGGAUCGUAAAACUCUGUUAUUAGGGAAGAACAUAUGUGUAAGUAACUGUGCACAUCUUGACGGUACCUAAUCAGAAAGCCACGGCUAACUACGUG